UAGGGAAUCUUCGGCAAUGGGGGGAACCCUGACCGAGCAACGCCGCGUGAGUGAAGAAGGUUUUCGGAUCGUAAAGCUCUGUUGUUAAGGAAGAACGAGUGUGAGAAUGGAAAGUUCAUACUGUGACGGUACUUAACCAGAAAGGGACGGCUAACUACGUGCCAGCAGCCGCGGUAAUACGUAGGUCCCGAGCGUUGUCCGGAUUUAUUGGGCGUAAAGCGAGCGCAGGCGGUUAGAUAAGUCUGAAGUUAAAGGCAGUGGCUCAACCAUUGUAGGCUUUGGAAACUGUUUAACUUGAGUGCAGAAGGGGAGAGCGGAAUUCCAUGUGUAGCGGUGAAAUGCGUAGAUAUAUGGAGGAACACCGGUGGCGAGAGCGGCUCUCUGGUCUGUAACUGACGCUGAGGCUCGAAAGCGUGGGGAGCGAACAGG
rnacentral:rRNA from 1 species